UUGACUUCCUCCCAUGAAUCAUGAAUUUUCUUAAAGGCAUCAAGAAUGGGGAAUCCUUUCCAGAAGAUUUUCAAUUUGCUGUGCCCAGAUCCAACAGAAGAAUCACUAUCUAUGACAGCUAUAGCCUUACAAGAUGUAUUUCUUAAAUAAUAAUGCUUUAAAGUCAAAGUAACUCCUUGAACCAUGGACUGCAGAAUGAAUGUUGUGUUAGCAGGCAUGAAAACAAUAUUAAUCUCUUUGAACAUCUCCAUCGAACCUCUUGGGUGACCAGGUGCAUUGCCAAUAAGCAGUAAUAUUUUGAGAGGAAUCUUCAUUUCUGGGCAUCGAGUCCCAAUAGUGGGCUUAAAAUACUCAGCAAACCAUGCUAACCUGUUGUCUGCCAUGACCAGGAGCUCCAUUCUCACACCUCUCUUUCUGGCCUCGCUCAUCUCAGCCCAUGCAACAUAAAACAGAUUAAGACCGAAGUCCAGCCAGAAUGAAGGUCUUGAGGUAGGAAAGAACAUGGCCAAGUUCACACAACUGGAAGAAAGUCAGUGAGGCUGGAGCAAACAAAGGAAGCAGAGAGUUACAAGACAGACAGUUGUCUCCUGGCCUGUUAAAUGUGUCCAUGACUACACAGAAAUUCCUGCCUAUUGCCUGCUUUCCUGAUGGAGAAGUUCAUGAUCUGCAAUAAUCAUCAGUGAACUGCAGCCUUUAUGCCAA
rnacentral:lncRNA from 1 species